rnacentral:rRNA from 1 species
GACGAACGCUGGCGGCGUGCUUAACACAUGCAAGUCGAACGGAAAGGCCCUGCUUUUGUGGGGUGCUCGAGUGGCGAACGGGUGAGUAACACGUGAGUAACCUGCCCUUGACUUUGGGAUAACUUCAGGAAACUGGGGCUAAUACCGGAUAGGAGCUCCUGCUGCAUGGUGGGGGUUGGAAAGUUUCGGCGGUUGGGGAUGGACUCGCGGCUUAUCAGCUUGUUGGUGGGGUAGUGGCUUACCAAGGCUUUGACGGGUAGCCGGCCUGAGAGGGUGACCGGCCACAUUGGGACUGAGAUACGGCCCAGACUCCUACGGGAGGCAGCAGUGGGGAAUAUUGCACAAUGGGCGGAAGCCUGAUGCAGCGACGCCGCGUGCGGGAUGACGGCCUUCGGGUUGUAAACCGCUUUCGCCUGUGACGAAGCGUGAGUGACGGUAAUGGGUAAAGAAGCACCGGCUAACUACGUGCCAGCAGCCGCGGUGAUACGUAGGGUGCGAGCGUUGUCCGGAUUUAUUGGGCGUAAAGGGCUCGUAGGUGGUUGAUCGCGUCGGAAGUGUAAUCUUGGGGCUUAACCCUGAGCGUGCUUUCGAUACGGGUUGACUUGAGGAAGGUAGGGGAGAAUGGAAUUCCUGGUGGAGCGGUGGAAUGCGCAGAUAUCAGGAGGAACACCAGUGGCGAAGGCGGUUCUCUGGGCCUUUCCUGACGCUGAGGAGCGAAAGCGUGGGGAGCGAACAGGCUUAGAUACCCUGGUAGUCCACGCUGUAAACGGUGGGUACUAGGUGUGGGGUCCAUUCCACGGGUUCCGUGCCGUAGCUAACGCUUUAAGUACCCCGCCUGGGGAGUACGGCCGCAAGGCUAAAACUCAAAGGAAUUGACGGGGCCCCGCACAAGCGGCGGAGCAUGCGGAUUAAUUCGAUGCAACGCGUAGAACCUUACCUGGGUUUGACAUGGAUCGGGAGUGCUCAGAGAUGGGUGUGCCUCUUUUGGGGUCGGUUCACAGGUGGUGCAUGGCUGUCGUCAGCUCGUGUCGUGAGAUGUUAGGUUAAGUCCCGCAACGAGCGCAACCCUUGUUCACUGUUGCCAGCACGUUAUGGUGGGGACUCAGUGGAGACCGCCGGGGUCAACUCGGAGGAAGGUGGGGAUGACGUCAAGUCAUCAUGCCCCUUAUGUCCAGGGCUUCACGCAUGCUACAAUGGCUGGUACAGAGAGUGGCGAGCCUGUGAGGGUGAGCGAAUCUCGGAAAGCCGGUCUCAGUUCGGAUUGGGGUCUGCAACUCGACCUCAUGAAGUCGGAGUCGCUAGUAAUCGCAGAUCAGCAACGCUGCGGUGAAUACGUUCCCGGGGCU